rnacentral:rRNA from 1 species
AAUUAAAAUAUUAUUUUCUUUUAUUAAUUUUUAAUAAAAAUAAUUUAAUUUUUUAGUAAAUUUUUUAGAAAUAUAAAAUUAUAUGAUAGUGUAAAGUACUGUAAAGGUUAAGUUUUAAUUAUUUAAAAGUAUAAUUAAUUUAGUACCUUUUGUAUCAGGGUUUAUUUAAUAAAUUUUAAUUAUAUAUUAAUUUUCCCGAAAUUAAAAGAGAUAAAAUUAAAUGUAAGUUUAUGUAAUAAAAUAUUUUAUAAUUUAAUUUUAGUGAUUAUAUGUUAUUCAAUUUUAAAUAUCUGGUUACUUUAGAUUUAAAUUUAAUUUAGAAUUGUUUAGUUAAUUUAUAAUUUUAUUUUAAUUUAAUUAAACAAUUUAAUAUUAUUGGGGAUUAGCUCAGUAUUAUUAUAUAAUAUUGUAAAAUUUAAUUAAUUGUAGGCUUAGAAAUAGUCAUCUUUAUUUUGUUAUAAUUAAUAUUUAAUAUUAUUUUUAUUUUUUCAGUAUUUAUUUAUAUAUAAAGUAAUAAAUAAUAAUUUUGGUUAUUUAGAUAUAAUGAUAAAAUGAGUAGAUAUUUAAUUUAAGUUUAGGAACUCGGCAAAUUUUAUCCUUGCCUGUUUAACAAAAACAUGUCUUAUAUGAUAUAUAAUUUUAAGUCUGACCUGCUCAAUGAUCAUGAUUAAAUUGCUAUAGUAUUUUAACUAUACAAAGGUAGCAUAAUAAUUUGUCUUUUAAUUGAAGACUUGUAUGAAUGGUUGGACAAAGGAUAAGCUUUCUUAAUUUAAAUUAUUAUUUAAAUUAAAUUCUAUGUAAAAAGUCUUAGAUUUAAUUGUGGGACGAGAAGACCCUAUAGAAUUUUAAUUAAAUUGUAAAUAUUUUAUUUUAGUUAUUUAUAUAUUAUAUUAAUAAUUUAAUUUUUGUUGGGGUGACAGUAGAAAUUAAUUAACUUCUAUUUAUAUUUAAACAUAAAUUAGUGUUAAAUUGAUCCUUUUUUAUGGAUUAUAAGAUUAAAUUACCUUAGGGAUAACAGCGUAAUUAUUUCGGAAAGUUCUUAUUGAUGAAGUAGUUUGCGACCUCGAUGUUGGAUUAAAGUUAGAUUUAUAGUGCAAAAGCUUAAUUUCUAGGUCUGUUCGACCUUUAAAUCUUUACAUGAUCUGAGUUCAAACCGGCGUAAGCCAGGUUGGUUUCUAUCUACAAUUUAAAAUUAGUAUUAUAGUACGAAAGGACCUUUUACUUUUAAUAAUUAAUAUUUUAUUGAUUAUUAAU